UACGUAGGGGGCAAGCGUUGUCCGGAAUCAUUGGGCGUAAAGGGCGCGUAGGCGGCCACGCACGUCCGUUGUGAAAUCGCCCGGCUCAACUGGGCGGGGUCAGCGGAUACGGUGUGGCUCGAGCAAGCUAGGGGGCAAUGGAAUUCCCGGUGUAGUGGUGGAAUGCGUAGAUAUCGGGAGGAACACCAGUGGCGAAGGCGGUUGCCUGGAGCUUUGCUGACGCUGAUGCGCGAAAGCGUGGGGAGCGAUCCGG
rnacentral:rRNA from 1 species